GAUGAUAGAGGCGCGGUCGUCAUCAGUAGCACCGUUGAAGGAUGCGGAUACAUCCGGUGUGAAAGGGUCUGCCGCCGAAGGGUACACGGUUUUCCGGCCGGGUAUGCCUGGGGCUUGAGAUAACAUCUCAAGGACUGUCACUUCGUAAGGAGUGGAGGGCUGUCGG
rnacentral:ncRNA from 1 species